rnacentral:rRNA from 1 species
UGCCUCAGUAGCGGCGAGUGAAGCGGCAAGAGCUCAGAUUUGAAAUCGCAGCGGCAACGCGGCGAGUUGUARAUUGCAGGUGGGAGAGUUUGCGGGCGGCGGGCGUCGAAGUCCCUUGGAACAGGGCGCCACUGAGGGUGARAGCCCCGUGCGAUGCCUGCCCAUGCUUUGAACUCCCCUCUGACGAGUCGAGUUGUUUGGGAAUGCAGCUCUAAGCGGGUGGUAAAUUCCAUCUAAGGCUAAAUACUGGCGAGAGACCGAUAGCGAACAAGUACUGUGAAGGAAAGAUGAAAAGCACUUUGAAAAGAGAGUGAAACAGCACGUGAAAUUGUUGAAAGGGAAGGGUAUUGGGCCCRACAUGGGAAUCGCGCACCGCUGCUCCUCGKGGGCGGCGCUCUGCGCUUUUCCKGGGCCAGCAUCGGUUUCCGCUGCAGGAGAAGGGGCUGUGGAAUGUGGCUGGCACGCUUGCGCGCCAGUGUUAUAGCCACGGGCCAGAUGCUGCGUGUGGGGACCGAGGGCUGCGACGGCAACGUCUCGGAUGCUGGCACAACGGCGCAAUACCGCCCGUCUU